CUGGCUUCUCUCUCACCGUCUCACAUCACACAGCACAAGACGUCACUGCCUCCCGACGAAACUACCAUUCCCCUCCCUUCCUCGCGUUCUGGUGCGGUGAGGAACUCCCACUCCCCAUGUCUCCCGGCUGCUGCCGUGAUAAGCGCCCUCCCUUUCCACGACGAAUGCCGUUCCUCUCCCUCUCUGUUGACGGAGGCAGAUGAAAUCGUCUCCACUGGAUCCUCGGCAGCGGCCACUGCCCGCGCCUUGGAGUUGGAGGGCUACGCAGCAGCUCCUAGACCUGGAGUGGAUGGCCGAGGCCCCUUUAUGCCUCGCCUACGGCUGGAGGGACGGCGCCGUCCCAACCCACCGGCGUCGCCCUGGAUCUUCUCGAGGUCGACCGUACAAGGAUUGGGGUGCUGCCGCCCCACGGGGCACGGGCUAUCCGGCAACAAGGAGCGCGACCGCGUCCGCCCGCGCUCCGUCAACAAGGAGCUUCGGUACGUACGCUCACGGGUACCCCUACUCGGCAUACUUCGUCGGCGGUGAGCAAUCCGAGAUCCCCAUAAGGAUAGGAUGAUUUGAACGGAGAAGCGGGUGUUAUAUAUCUUGGAUCCAAAUACUAUGAAAGCAAAUAUGGGGCAUUAUCCCUUUCGCAUAUAAUAUUGGUGGGUGAUGGCGGUGUAGGUUAUUCUUAAGUAUGGGAAGAGCGACAAGGACAUCCACAACCUAAGGCAGGAGAUCGAGGAGUUGCCAUGUUCGUUUCUUUGAGAUUUCUCUGCCCGAGCUGAAAUAUAUGAUAUUUAAGAGUAUGGAUGCUCUAGGUACAGUCUCAAUGGUGUAAAGGGAUUAAUUGCUGAUGCUGAUUAUGCUGUUUCACCUGUGUUCAUGAUGUGGACAUAUCCAAAUAUUCGUUGCCAGCAAGACCCCUUCAGCACCACAUCAAAGUGUGAAGGCAAUACUGGACACACAAUCUGGAGUAACACAAGUGAGCAACAAAGCUGGCAGGUACACCCUCUGUCCCUCUCGGUGUAAUUCAAGAUGUGCAUGCACACGUUUUUUGGCAUUGUGAAAAUGCAUUGUUUAACCUGUCCAAAGGCAAUAAAUACUUGCUGCGCCAUCGAGCAAAGGUAUUAUUUCACAUCAUGUUUCAUGAUUUGUACUACCUGUUUUAUGAAUGACAUAUCAGCUGUUUAUUUGUGUAAGCACGAAUAUGCAAGCAAGUUGGUAUCAAACUAAAUACCAAUGCAUCUCAGUUUAUUUUCGAAAACAAGUUAGUGUGACAUGUGACCAAAUUUGGUGGUGUUAUAAGCCUACCGCAGCAUUUGGAGCGUAAAAUUAAUUGCCACUGGACCAUUUAAGGUAGGCAUCUGAAUUAUAGGGUUUUCAAGUAGUGACUAUUUUUAUGCUAUUAUACCUUUAUGUAACAUCUAACGGAACACUGUACUAUUUUUUCUCAUGCGUCUAUGGGCGCUUGAGUCGGAACUAUCUUGUUCUUUCAGUCAAAAUACAUCUUACACAGAGAAAGUAUUUGCACAUCUUAUACUUCUUCAAGUUGUAAUUACAUUUUUUGCGAUUAACCAUGACUCUAUGCUUUUAUGUUAUUUGAUCACCACAGGGUGGACAUUGGUAUUCAAGAUCCAUUGCUUCUGGAUAUCCAACUCCUUAACCACCAUAAAUUCAGAACAUAUAUGCAGAUAACAAUAAACUGAACAAAUGAUAAGGCUGAUGUCAACAUGGAAGAGAAGUGAAACAGCAAACGGCCUACAGGUUUACGCCUUAGUGAUAGCUGCAGUUGUAUCACUAUUUUUAAUCUAUCCGAACAAUUUUUGCCUUAGACAUAUUGUUCUACUACUGUAUUUACCAUUACCUUCUAUAUGUAUAUAUGCUACUCGUAGUAAUGGUAAGGUAGUUUAAUUUCUACUAUUUUCGUGUCUAAAUAUAUUUAUUCUCAAAUCUUAAGUUUGACCCUAGUUAAGAUCCAACAAUACAAUACAGUACACAUGCAACAGUAUAGUACAGCUAAUCAGGCAUCUAAAUUUCUGUUCUUAAAAUGUAGAACCCGCGCAAAUCAAUUGGCAACAUCGGCUGGUGCGUACUAAAAUGAUGUUAAAACUCAGAUCCAAAAUGUCGCCUAAGUUAAAGUACUGAUUUGGACCAUGAAAGCAAGUAAAUGGGGCUAGCAUGUUUGUUACUUGGUACACAUUAGACUACAGCAGCACAGUUGGAUGGGGAGAGGGUGAUGGUGCAUCAGUUUGUAUUAGAGGUGUGAUUACAUACCUUGAACUCGCUGGAAUUUUCUGCAGAUCCAAGUUGUGACCUCCCUUGAAAUUUUGUUUGAAGACUGGGCAGGUUGAAAUCUGGAUACACGAGAUCUCUCGCCCCAGCCAUGCUUGAGAUGUGGUUCUUCUAUUGAUUGGUUCGCUAGGAGAAAGACCGAAUCAUACUUGAAGAGAAAAAUAAAGGAGCUUAAGUGAGCCUGGGACUCGCCUCAGUGCCAUCACCCUUUUAGAGGUGUGGCGACUAACAAGAUAUUGACUCAGCAUGGUGGUAGAGGUAGAUUGAAGAUGAAGAUGGAUGAACUCGAAAACAAUGAGCCUGGUAAGAUGGAUAAACUCUAAUAUUAACCUGGAGGUGUAUUUUAUAUGAUUGGGAGAGCGUGAGACUGGUAAGUUUUGAGUCAUAUUGUUGCCUUCCCAGAAAAGGAGCUAUCUAUGGUAAGAUGAUAAAUUCGUCAUUAUGUUGCCUUCCCAGAAUUUGAGCCUAGUCUAUGGUAAGAUGAUAAUUAGUCAUUAUGUUGCCUUCCCAAAGUAUAGAGCUUUAUUUUUAGGAGAUUUCGAGAAUUCGAGACAUGUCGAAUUUGAUAUAGGUGGUGCUUUCGAUGGAUUGGCCAAAAUCACCAAGUAUAGAGCUUUCUUUUUAGGAGGAAACCAGAUUUUAUGCCUUUUGUCAGGUUUCUAUUUAGGUCAGAUGGAUUUUAUGCCUUUUUGUUUACACGUUGGAUAUCCUGCUUUCAAAGCACUAUUGAUCGUUGUUCCUUUCUGUCCACUAUUCUGCAGGUUUCCUAUUUUAUAGGUUUCCAGUUCUAUAGGUUUCCUAUUUUUGUUUACACGCUGGACAUUUAGGUAAGAUGGUUAUGAUGGCAAUAAACAAAAUGCCUCUGAUUGUAAGAUGGUUAUAUGGUAAGAUGAUUAUGUCUCCGAUUUUUUUUGUCUGUCCGGUAUGCUAACGCACGGGAAUGGUUCGGUAGGAUUAGGAUGUAGCGAUGCGGCCCAUUAUGGCCCGUUCGGGAUUAGCGAUAGGAUUAGCGAUGGUUGACGAAAGAUGAUGGCAGAAAACGGAGGAAGUUCCUCCUUUUUAUAUAGUAGAGAU